GUGACACCAAACCGAGCAGGAUACCGGAGCCAAGUUUGCUCAGGCAAGGGCUCAGGUAUCCGUCGUCAUGUAAGUUUUCAUCUGGGAAGCUGGUUCAUAAACAGGGUUUGAAGAGGUUUUGAUCUCUCUGAACUUGAAAGCGCUGUGGUUUGAGCCCACACAGGAUGGACUCGUGAGACUCUCUGUGUCAUUGGGAGAGCAGCCUUUCUAUAGGAACAUAGCGUGACCGAGCUUUGUUCUGGGGACCAUCUGCUUCGAUUGUGUUUGUCCAGAUCCGGAGGAAAGAAGAGUGUCUUGGCCAUAGGAGGGUGUUCAAAUGAUGACUUGGGCUCAUCAGAUGCUAAACUCAAGACAGCUGGCUGAGUGAGCCCCGUGCUAUCUCCCCUCAAAGACGAUAUUUGCAGGAGGAAGAAAUCUCAGAGAUACUCAGUGCAGCCCCAGGGACCCCUGGCAUCGAGGUAUCUAGCAGAACACAGGUGACCAGCAGAGAAGGUUCGCUGCUGCAGGGAGUCACACUGUAGCUCAGAAAAGGGUGCCUCCACCAAGGCCAGGGGGCAUCAGGCUUCGUGCAGAGAUGGCUUGCAUCUCACACACCUUCUCCCAUCAUCUCCCUGGACCACCGAAGAAAAAUGAGAA